AUGAGAAGCGGUGCGACGACUCUUCCCCGGGGCGGACGGACACACCGCAGGCACUUUGCAAGAGACAGUGGAACAGUUUACACAUCUGUGUGAGGCCGGAUUUUCCUUAUUGCUUCAACCAAAACAACAUAUCACAGAAGACUGAAUGCAAAAGCAGCUUUGGGAGAAGAUAACUGCCAUGUCAUGUAAGCAGCCCUACAGAGAGGCCCAUCUGGCAAGGAGCUGAAGCCUCCUGCCAACAGCCAUGUGAGUGAUCUUGGAAGCACACUCUCCACCUUCAUCGGACAACUGAGCACCAGCUGACUACCUGACUGCAGCCAGGCAUUCUUCUCAUCCUCGAACUUGGGAUCCAAUGGUGAAAUCAGCCUGGUCUAAUGGAGAAAGCAUUCUAGCCAAAUCAAAUGGAGG